rnacentral:ncRNA from 1 species
UUCAAAGACCAUCAGACACUAUCGUAAUUCUCAGUAUGUAAAAAUACUCCUUUGAAAGCUUGCCUUGUAAUUCAAGCCACUUUCAUGUGCAGCAUCAAAAUUCUUGUUUCUCUGUAUGCUCAUACAGAAAAAAAUCAACCUGAGGCCCCACAUCAUUUGCCCAUGUAUUAGAAAGCAAUCAUGAGGUACUCGGAAGGAAACCAUGAUCUAUUUCUGGCAGCAAGGGGUGAUGGAAAAGGAGAAAAAAAUGGAAAUACAAACUGUGUGCAGUAUCUGCUCUGAACUUUAAACAUCAAUGCUGAAUUUUUGGCAGAUGGCAUGGUUCUAUUUUGUUGGUUUUCAGAACCUGGGCCAUUAUUAAGAGGGAUGCUUGGGAACAUUCAUAUUGUGUCACUAAACGUGAAAUUCUUGGACCGGUGCAUGACGGACCAGAGGGAAAACACUUGCCAAUAAUGUUUUCAUUAAUCAAGAAAGAAAGUUGGAGGUUCAAAGACGAUCAGACACUAUCGUAAUUCCCACCAUAAAUGAUGUUGACUGUGGAUGCAGCAGCGUUAUUCCCUAUAUCCCUGGUUAGCUUCCGGGAAACAUAAGUCUUUGGGUUCUGGGGGGAAUAUGGUUGCAAAGCAGAAACUUAAAGUAAUUGAUGGAAGGGCACCACUAGGAGUGGAGCCUGUGGCUUAAUUUGACUCAACACAGGAAACCUCACCUAGUCCGGAUGUGGACAUGAUUGACUGAUUAAUAGCUCUUUCUCGAUUCCAUGGGUGGUGGUGCAUGGCCGUUCUUAGUUGGUGGAGCGAUUUGUCUGGUUAGUUCUGAUAAGGAAGGAGACUCUGGCAUGCUAACUAGUUAAGUGACCCUGAGCUGUCAGCAUCCCCCCCCCGACUUCUUAGAGGGUCAAGUGGCGUUCAACCACACAAUUGAGAAAUAACAGGUCUGUGAUGCACUUAGAUGUCGGGGCUGCACACACACUACACUGACUAUGUGCCUACUUUAUGCUGGCAGGCCUGGGUUAACUGUUAAUGGGGAUCGGGGAUUGCAAUUAUUCCCCUUGAACAAGGAAUUCCCUGUAAGUGCGGCUCAUAAGCUUGUGUUGAUUAAAUCCCUGCCCUUUAUACACACAGCCCACCACUACAAUUGGAUGGUUUAGUGAGGCCCUUGAAUCGGGCCUGCCGGGGUCUGCACAUGGCCCUGGCUUAGUGCUGAGAAGACAGUCAAACUUGACUACCUAGAGGAAGUAAAAGUUGCAAGGAUCAUUA